rnacentral:misc_RNA from 1 species
AUCGAUCCUCUCCGGUACUGGUGACGGUGGAUUCAGCGUCCGAUAUAUCUCCGCGUUCGGGCCUCGCGCCGAUGUCACGAGCCGCCGCGCCGUCACGAGCCCUCCUCUGACGUCGCCGCAGCUGCCGUGGUGGUGGAGCCGCCACCGCGUCGUCCUGCAGGUCCAGGAGCACCCUGCCGCACACCGCGCAGGACGCGAACUCGCCCUCCGCCCGGAGGCGGCGGACAGCGCCGCAGUGGCCGCACCAGCACGUCGCCGACGGUGCCAUCGACACAACGCCGGAGGAACGCGUCUGGCCAACUCAAGAUGGAUUUAUGUGCCGGCGGCUGAGUUUUGCCUCGGGUUCAGAUGUGCCAGGACUACAUUAUAUUUGGAUGGAAAGGUUGUUGGGCGCUUGGCUCGGUUUCAGUUGGGCUAUUGCAUCGCGUUGGUUUCCCG